AAAAUCUCUUACGCUUACAAGGAUAAGUCAUUUAGUCAUUUACUUGUUUUAGAAACGGCAUAUCAAUUCGUUCCCAGAAUAUGUUUUCUUAGUUAGUACUGAUUACUUACUAUCUCAGGGUGACCUGUUACUCUAAAUUUAUCACCUAAAAUUAUGUUUUUUCGUUCACAGUUUCUAGGCUGUGGCCACCUGAAUAAUCAGCCUCGAUGGCCAUGUAGGGUUGAACUGUGACCGCUCUGACCAUCAAUUAUGGAGUACUACUUGGUUUUGUGCCCUUUGAUGAUGCGCAUAUGAUUUAUGGGCAGCCGGUGUAUCCUCUUUCUACACAUAAUGAGUAUUGCCUUUGGUCACAGGUAUCCUACCCAAUGGAAUUGCUGUUUGGCUUGGAUUCUAGGCUGGUCUGAUAAAGCAUAGGGCGAAGGAUGAUAGUAUAUAUAGGAAAGCCUAUGCAAUAUGUAGUGCCUUGAAGUAUAUGUCAAUGGCAAGGUAUAAUGCUCUGUAGUAUAUGUUAGUAUCAUUCUGGUACUGCGGUGAUAAUUAGCAAGCAUAGCUUAGUUCUGUGUUCAGGCUGCUCCUAAAUUUCCUUCAUGUAUGCAUCUUUUGUCUAUGUAAACAUGUAAGUUUGUGUGAUGCUUUGUUCAGGUUUGAUCCACCUUUCCAUCAGAUGUUCUUUCAUGUAAGAAUGUUGGUCUAU